GGAACUGCAUUCGAAACUGGCAGGCUUGAGUCUUGUAGAGGGGGGUAGAAUUCCAGGUGUAGCGGUGAAAUGCGUAGAGAUCUGGAGGAAUACCGGUGGCGAAGGCGGCCCCCUGGACAAAGACUGACGCUCAGGUGCGAAAGCGUGGGGAGCAAACAGGAUUAGAUACCCUGGUAGUCCACGCCGUAAACGAUGUCUACUUGGAGGUUGUGCCCUUGAGGCGUGGCUUCCGGAGCUAACGCGUUAAGUAGACCGCCUGGGGAGUACGGCCGCAAGGUUAAA
rnacentral:rRNA from 1 species